AGAAAUUUAACUAGGCACAAAAUCUCCAAAGUUAAGCCUACAGAUGCCUCCGUGGCAUUUCACAUAUACUAUUGCUAAUACCCCAUGUAGAUGUGUAUAGACUUCUGGUUGAAUGUCAACUGUCAAGAGGACUGAGGACUAAAAGUUAAUUCUCAGGAUCGCCAUGGAAACACCCCAAUGAUUUGAACAGGACAGUUCCAACAUUAGAAACUUGGAAGUACGAGUGGGGGGUUUUACAAGGAUGAGAGAGACCAACCCCUCAACGUGUAGCCCAAAGCCCAAUGAUCUAUAGAGA
rnacentral:misc_RNA from 1 species